AGCGUUAAUCGGAAUUACUGGGCGUAAAGUGUGCGCAGGCGGCCGAGCAAGUCGAGUGUGAAAGCCCCGAGCUUAACUUGGGAACUGCGCUCGAAACUACUUGGCUAGAGUGUGGCAGAGGGAGGUGGAAUUCCACGUGUAGCGGUGAAAUGCGUAGAGAUGUGGAGGAACACCGAUGGCGAAGGCAGCCUCCUGGGCCAACACUGACGCUCAUGCACGAAAGCGUGGGGAGCAAACAGG
rnacentral:rRNA from 1 species